rnacentral:rRNA from 2 species
AACAUGCAGUCGAACGGUGAAGCCCUUCGGGGUGGAUCAGUGGCGAACGGGUGAGUAACACGUGGGCAAUCUGCCCUGCACUCUGGGACAAGCCCUGGAAACGGGGUCUAAUACCGGAUAUGACCUUCCUCCGCAUGGGGGUUGGUGUAAAGCUCCGGCGGUGCAGGAUGAGCCCGCGGCCUAUCAGCUUGUUGGUGGGGUAAUGGCCUACCAAGGCGACGACGGGUAGCCGGCCUGAGAGGGCGACCGGCCACACUGGGACUGAGACACGGCCCAGACUCCUACGGGAGGCAGCAGUGGGGAAUAUUGCACAAUGGGCGAAAGCCUGAUGCAGCGACGCCGCGUGAGGGAUGACGGCCUUCGGGUUGUAAACCUCUUUCAGCAGGGAAGAAGCGCAAGUGACGGUACCUGCAGAAGAAGCACCGGCUAACUACGUGCCAGCAGCCGCGG